UGGUGGCUCACGCCUGUAAUUCCAGCACUUUGGGAGGCUGAGGUGGGCAGAUCACGAGGUCAGAAGAUCGAGACCAUCCUGGCUAAACAGUGAAACCCUGUCUCUACUAAAAAUACAAAAAAUUAGCCGGGUAUGGUGGCAUGUGCCUGUAGUCCCAGCUACUCAGGAGGCUGAGGCAGAAAAAUGGUGUGAACCCGGGAGGUGGAGGUUGCAGUGAGCUGAGAUCACACCAUUGUACUCCAGCCUGGGUGACAGACUGAGACUCUGUCUCAAAAAAAAAAAAAAAAAAAGUAUGAGGCAAAAAUUGAAAGAAGUUUUUAAAACUCUACAUAAUUGGAGAGUUAUGCCAUAUCUAUGAAUUGGAAGACUCAAUAUUGUUAAGAUGAAUGGAUUCCCUAAAUUGGGGAGAUUCAAUGAUAUCCCAAGCAAAAUCACAACAGACUUUUUUCCCACAAAGGCACAAAGGCAAUUUAAUGGAGGUAAAGGAUUUGUUUUGUUUUGUUUUUGAGACAGAGUCUUGCUCUGUCACCCAGGCUG
rnacentral:lncRNA from 1 species